GAGGGGCACCCAAUGCGCGGAGCAGCGCGGAACGCAGCGCGGUAACGGCGGCUCUGGGAGCGCGCAUUGCUCCGCGGUGCCCCGGUGCCAGCGCGCAGCCCCGGCGAGAGGUUGGACUCGGCUCCGUCCGGACGUAGCUCAGUUCUUUUCCUGCGAGGAAACGCCUCUGAGUCGGGGUUAACCUUCAGCCUUACGCCGAGAGCCGGGAGCUCGAAGAUGCUCUCCCGGCUCUCAAACCCGAACAAAAAGGAGCUGCAGAGAAUCGCGGGUUUUGGCUCCCAACAAAGAGUUCCCGGUCACGGCAUCCCGGGGCGAAUUCUUAUCCCCGCGUCCGCUCCGAGUAUUGGAAUCGAUAGAACAUAUCACGGCUCCGAGUCCUCUCCCCCCACGCGGCGGCGGCUGUUGCUCGUCCCGCUCCGUCCCCACCUCCCGCCGGGUGCCACAGCGGCGGUCCCCGCUCAGCACACGGCCGAUGGGGCUGCGGACACUUCUGGAAUCACGUGGAAAAAAAGCCCCCGAACGUCGGUAAAUAAAGGUGUAUGCACUGAACGCGUUCCCCGCAAUCUCACAGGCACCGGUGAACAAACUCAGCAAAUAUCUGAGGGUGUGACUACAACGUCGGAACGAACUGGCUUUUGGUUAUGGGUGAUUUAGAUAACGUACUCUUCCUUUUUUGCUUAACUAUCCUACGCGACCCGUCCCGUAACCUCAGAAUGUGCUGUGGGAUGUUUCUCUCUGCCCCCCCUCCCUUUGCCGUGCCCCCACAGCUUUCCAGUCCGCACGCCUUUUGUUUUUCCUCUUUGUAAACGCGUAUUAAAAACCGCUGUGACUGCGCGAGGUGGGGACGGGCAUCUGCGGGUCGGGGCGGCUGCGGUGCUUCUCCGCGACGUCUCCAUCUCCUUCGAGCAGUGCUCGGCAAUGGAAAACGGCAGUUGUGAAGCGCUGGGGGAAAUGACAAAUGGAUGCUCCGGCAGCGUCCGCAAAUGUCGAUCGCUCGUAUGCAGCAGCUGCGUGCGUGCGUGUAUCUAUCUGCGUGUAUAUAUACACACAUAUAUAUUUACUUAGGCGCAGUUUGCUGCUCUCCGGGCGGGACGGGACGCUGCAAGGAGCGGCGAGCGAAUCCCCUGGAGGUGAAAGAGAGGGCAGAGCGGGGGCACCGCCGCUCCCCGCACACCGAGCCCAAGGGGGUCCUGCGGGCACGGCUGCCCAGCCGAGAUGGGCCCUUCCUUCCCGAGGCCGGGAGGGACGCGGCGAUGCUCGGAGCUGCGGAGUGUGCGCGAAGCUCUUAGCGCUAUUGAUUCUAAACUUUCUUCGUGAAGACAAAUUUACCAUAUGUCGAUGUGUAAACACUUGGGCAUAAAAUUAAAACCAGCUCCGCGCGACUGUCACCGCUCUGGAUUCUGACGCAAACGAUCAGAUGUCGGUGCACUUC
ensembl:lncRNA